GCCCUACGGGACGCAGCAGUGGGGAAUAUUGGGCAAUGGGCGCAAGCCUGACCCAGCAACGCCGCGUGAGUGAAGAAGUAUUUCGGUACGUAAAGCUCUAUCAGCAGGGAAGAAAAUGACGGUACCUGACCAAGAAGCCCCGGCUAACUACGUGCCAGCAGCCGCGGUAAUACGUAGGGGGCAAGCGUUAUCCGGAUUUACUGGGUGUAAAGGGAGCGUAGACGGCAGCGCAAGUCUGGAGUGAAAUGCCGGGGCCCAACCCCGGAACUGCUUUGGAAACUGUGCAGCUGGAGUGCAGGAGAGGG
rnacentral:rRNA from 1 species